rnacentral:rRNA from 1 species
GGAUCCAGACUUUGAUUAUGGUCAGGAUGAACGCUGGCGGCGUGCUUAACACAUGCAAGUCGAACGAAGCGCUUGAGAUUGAUUCUUCGGAAGAUUUCUCUUGUGACUUAGUGGCGGACGGGUGAGUAACGCGUGGGUAACCUGCCUCACACAGGGGGAUAACAGUUGGAAACGACCGCUAAUACCGCAUAACCCGCUAGGGCCGCAUGGCCCGGGACGGAAAAGAUUUAUCGGUGUGAGAUGGACCCGCGUUGGAUUAGCUAGUUGGCAGGGUAACGGCCUACCAAGGCGACGAUCCAUAGCCGGCCUGAGAGGGUGAACGGCCACAUUGGGACUGAGACACGGCCCAAACUCCUACGGGAGGCAGCAGUGGGGAAUAUUGCACAAUGGGGGAAACCCUGAUGCAGCGACGCCGCGUGAGUGAAGAAGUAUUUCGGUAUGUAAAGCUCUAUCAGCAGGGAAGAAAAUGACGGUACCUGACUAAGAAGCCCCGGCUAACUACGUGCCAGCAGCCGCGGUAAUACGUAGGGGGCAAGCGUUAUCCGGAUUUACUGGGUGUAAAGGGAGCGUAGACGGUUAAGCAAGUCAGAAGUGAAAGGCUGGGGCUCAACCCCGGGACUGCUUUUGAAACUGUUUAACUAGAGUGCUGGAGAGGUAAGCGGAAUUCCUAGUGUAGCGGUGAAAUGCGUAGAUAUUAGGAGGAACACCAGUGGCGAAAGGCGGCUUACUGGACAGUAACUGACGUUGAGGCUCGGAAAGCGGUGGGAGCAAACAGGAUUAGAUACCCUGGUAGUCCACCGCCGUAAACGAUGAAUACUAGGUGUCGGGGGAGCACAGCUCUUCGGUGCCGCCGC